rnacentral:rRNA from 1 species
AUUGAACGCUGGCGGCAUGCUUUACACAUGCAAGUCGAACGGUAACAGGGUGCUUGCACCGCUGACGAGUGGCGAACGGGUGAGUAAUGCGUCGGAACGUGCCGAGUAGUGGGGGAUAACGCAGCGAAAGUUGUGCUAAUACCGCAUACGUACUGAGGUAGAAAGUGGGGGACCUUCGGGCCUCACGCUAUUCGAGCGGCCGACGUCUGAUUAGCUAGUAGGUGAGGUAAAGGCUCACCUGGGUGACGAUCAGUAGCGGGUCUGAGAGGAUGAUCCGCCACAGUGGGACUGAGACACGGCCCAGACUCCUACGGGAGGCAGAAGUGGGGAAUUUUGGACAAUGGGCGAAAGCCUGAUCCAGCCAUGCCGCGUGUCUGAAGAAGGCCUUCGGGUUGUAAAGGACUUUUGUCGGGGAGGAAAUCCCCAGCGUUAAUACCGCUGGGGGAUGACAGUACCUGAAGAAUAAGCACCGGCUAACUACGUGCCAGCCGCCGCAGUAACAC